CUGCCACUAGCCACGUAUGACUGCCACUUGCACUCUGUGUUGCAACACUUGGUAUUUUCCAGGUUCUCUCAAACCCCAAGUGCUUCCUUGCAACCUCUGCCUUUCUUCAGGUCUGCAGGAGAACCCAAAAUGUUUCACUCCAACCAUCCACUCGUUCCCAGGAAGUAAAACACUGCUGGAGAAAAUCAGGCCAUUUCCUGAUUCGUGAUUCAAAUCACAAAUGUGCGUGGAUCCUUGUGGGCCCUUAGGGCCAUUUAACAAGCCUAUUACGUACAGAAAUUUAUGUGAUGACAGCAACUUCAGGGGCCGCAUACAUUCCAUCCUCCUCAGAGCAGUUAUGUCACACGUACCAUGAUCUGUCCUGUGCCCCAGGAAAGUGUCCCCUCGCUGCCUCUCACCGCCACUCACGGGAGGAUCAUCUCAGCCCCAAGUGACCAUCUUUCCAAAGCCCCAUUUCUGUCUGGAAAACAGCGUUUGGGAACGAGUCCAAUGAUUUUCAGGCCCUAUUUAAACAAGAUCUCACUCUAAGCCAGAGACAAGCAAGCAGCCUGGCCAAAGUGGGCUGGGGAACUGAGGGUCCUCAGACCCCUGCCCCGCCUCACAAGGACCCCGAGGGGUGUCGUCACCACUAAGUCCCAAACUGCUCUAACUGGCUCUGAUUCUAUGUCUGUCUCUGCUUCAGACUAAAUAUAUCCCCUUCUCCUCCAAACCAGAUGGCUUCUAGACUGCUCUGGAAGAGGCGGCUUGGGAGAGGGAAGCAGAGAGCAGGAAGAGGGCCAUGCCUCUCCUCCCCACUCUCCUCCUCAUCCUGGUUCAAUCCAACAAACACACAUAGCGAGGGUUCAAGACAAGACCCCUCAUAAUGGUUAGUUUCAGCCCACGUUCAAGGACUUAAGAAAGCCUGCAUCACUCACUGCAGCGUUAGGCUUCCGCUAAAUCCCAGGGGCUUUUCAUCAGGGAGAGGCAGAAGGCGCUGGCCCUGGGCCUCCAAGCUGAACAGAAUGACUAACAGGUCCUUCUGCCCAGGACAGUGGGUCAUGGAGGAGGGAGGUGACAGCUGUAAGGUUUUCUCUCCUUUUCUGUCUGACCAGCACAGCUUCCCUUUCUGCUUUUAGCAGUUCCCUGCUUUGGGAACAGGAAGAGCCUUCUCGACACCCACAAGCUUCACUUUCCACACUUCAUAGCUACAUUUUUAUCCGUAUGUAAAAUGCAGGAAAUUCCCAUCGUGACUCAUCAGGUUACGAACCUGACUAGUAUCCAUGAGGAUGAAGGUUCGAUCCCUGGCCUUGCUCAGUGGGUGAAGGAUUUGACGUUGCCAUGAGCUGUGAUGUAGGUCACAGACAUGGCUCAAAUCUGGUGUUGCUGUGGCAGUUACAGCUCCGAUUCAACCCCUAGCCUGGGAAUUUCUAUCUGCCAUGGAUGUGGCCCUAAAAAAAAAAAAAAGAAAAGAAAAAGGAAAGAAAAGAAAGAAAAUGCAGGACAUACACUCACUAUCUAUUGUGAAUUCAUUAACUUAAAAAAUAUCUUGAUGGAUCACACAUGGAUAAACACUAGGCAUUUUGAUCCUCUUCCUAUUUUUCAAAAUAACUCCUGCCCCUCCGCACCUUUUCCUUUGGCAGUUCUCAGUUUCCUGUGUACUAUGUAUCUGCUUCGCUUUUAAGGAACAGAACUUUUUUACAGGAAAUAAUACGAGCUGGUCCUUGGGGGGUAAGGGGGGACAUUCAUCUGAGCGGCACCUAAGCAGCUGACACAGCACAAGAGGAGCACGUGGGCAGGUAACACAGCAAGGACAGCAGCAGAGUUUUUACUUCUAUUCCAAUUUGUUAUCAAAAAAAAACUAUGUCAGCAUCAAUAAGCUGCUGAUUAUAAAAUGUAUCCUUGGCAGAAAGAGAGAGAGAAUGAACAUUUAAUGAAUACUUGCCAUCUGCCAGGCACUGUGUGAGGCUAGUUGUUCUCAGCAUCUAGUGGUCAAGGACGCCUCUAAGAUUCUGGUGGAAGCUGAAAUCUCUCCCUUAGAAAAAUUCAAAUAUACGCAAAAUUUUACAUAAUAUUACAGGGGAAAGAUUCCUGAAGCACAAUCACAGACUGCAGAUAAAAACCUUUUGGGCUAAACUCUUACCUCUGAGAGCAUGGCAUCGUUGCCAUGAGAUCAUUGUCCCCACUUUAGAGGAGGGAACAUGUCCAAGCUCAUAUACAUAAGUGGCAGAAACAACAUUUCAACCAGAGUUGUCUAAACACAACUUGCUGGCCAAGAUGAAAAUGUCACUUGGUUUUUACUGUUACUAUAACUAUCACUCCUUAUUUUUAAACGAGGAAAUAAAGAUUAUGUGAAAAAAUGAAAUCUGUGCAAAGCAUCCUAGACUCAGCCAAGGGAAAUCAGGAAGCACAAGACUCCCAGAAGUUCCAAUCUCAUUUCCUAUCAGCCAAAAUCCCUGAUCCCCCUGAGCCUGCCUGUCCAGCUAGAAAACACGCCAAAGACGUAUUUUUCUUUUUCUUAGUUUUAUGCUUUUUAUUAUUUUUUUGAUUUUUAUUUUUCCCAUUAUAAUUUAAUGUUCUGUCGAUUUCUACUGUACUGCAAAGUGAUCCAGUCACUUUUAUUCUUUAUUUUUUAUUCUUUUAUAUAUAUAUAUUCUUUUUCUUAUAUCAUCCUCCAUCAUGUUCCAUCACAAGUGACUGGAUAUAGUUCCCUGUGCUAUACAGAAGGAUUAAAGAUGUAUUUUUCUUAAGUUUCACAUUCCUCAGAAUAAGAGUUAACCUCUGUCAUAAUAUCUCAAUAAAACUUGGGGGAAAAGGAGUUCCUGCUGUGGUGCAGUGGAAACAAAUCUGACUAGGAACCAUGAGGUUGUGGGUUUGAUCCCUGGUCUCACUCAGUGGGUUAAGGAUCUGGCGUUGCCGUGAGCUGUGGUGUAGGUUGCAGAUGUGGCUCGGAUCUGGUGUUGCUAUGGCUGUGGUGUAGGCCAGCAGCUGUAGCUCCAAUUAGAUCCUAACCUGGGAAACUUCAUAUGCCACAGGUGUGGCCCUAAAAAGCAAAAAUAAAAUAAGUAAAUAAAUAAAAUAUUAAAAAAAAAAACUUGGGGGAAAAAUUUUUAAAUAACCCAUCAGGAGUUCCUGCUGUGGCACAGUAGGUUAAGAAUCUGAGGAGUUCCUGUAGUGGAACAGCGGAAACGAAUUGGACAAGGAACUUUGAGGUUUCGGGUUCGAUUCCUGGCCUUGAGCAGCAGGUUAAGGAUCCGGCAUUGCCGUGAGCUGUGGUGUAGGUCGCAGAUGCAGCUUGGAUCUGGCAUUGCUGUGGCUGUGGUGUAGGCCAGCAGCAACAGCUCCAAUUAGACCCCUAGCCUGGGAACCUCCAUAUGCCACGAGUACGUCCCUAAAAGGACAAAAGAGGGAAAAAAAAAAUAAUAAUAAUCUGAUUAUAGGAGUUCCCAUCGUGGCUCAGUGGGUUAAGAACCCAACUAGUAACCAGGAGGAUGCAGGUUCGAUCCCUGGCCUGGCUGAGUGGGUUAAAAAUCCAGCAUUGCCAUGAACUGUGGUAUAGGUCCCAGAUGUGGCUUGGAUUUGGCAUUGCUGUGGUGAUGGUGAAUAACGGCAGCUGCAGCUCUGAUUCAACUUCUAGCCCAGGAACUUCCAUA
rnacentral:lncRNA from 1 species